rnacentral:rRNA from 1 species
UACGGAGGAUGCAAGCGUUAUCCGGAUUUAUUGGGUUUAAAGGGUGCGUAGGCGGGGGAUUAAGUCAGUGGUGAAAUCUUGCAGCUUAACUGUAAAAUUGCCAUUGAUACUGAUUUUCUUGAGUGCGGUUGAAGUAGGCGGAAUGUGUAAUGUAGCGGUGAAAUGCUUAGAGAUUACACAGAACACCGAUUGCGUAGGCAGCUUACUAAGCCGUAACUGACGCUGAGGCACGAAAGUGUGGGGAUCGAACAGG